ensembl:lncRNA SLC39A13-AS1 SLC39A13 antisense RNA 1
GGGCUCCCUGCAGCAGGAAUGUGCCCAGCCGGCCGAUCACAGGAUGUGGACGUGAGUCAACCAAGCGAGAAGUUCCAUCUGGAAACUCGGGCAUGAGGUUUAAAUGUGGUCUGCUCUGCCUCAGGCUGGCUGUGACCUUGAGCUGGUGAUGUCCCUGCCUCAGUUUCCUCACCUUCUGAUGGAGAUGGGAGGGGAAGAAAGCAGCUGCCUCUGGGUGGUGGCAGAGAUGCCCAUGUCUAGGACCUCCAGGCCUUAACUAAUCAGGGGCACUGAUGAAGCCAGCGGGGCUCCACUGGGGACCACAGGCAAGACUGGGCCAGGACGAGGCGGUCACGCAGAGAAAGAAGAUAAAAGGGAACAGAAGAGAAAAUUCAAAAGUCCCUAGAGCGUCCAAGAUUUUUGGUUUCAAACCAAUUUCCUGCUGACCAGAAUGAAAUGGAGCCACAUUCCAGCACGAUGCACCUGCUGACCUCCUGCAAGUCAGGGACCUUCUCUGCCCCUCUUUUGCUCUGCUGCAGGAGGGAGAAGCUGGGAAUGUGUUCCUCUGGGGUCCCAUCACCUCCAGCCAGCCACUGUCCCUGUCUCCCCAAAACCUCCUCGUUGUCCCUCCUCUGUCCUCCUCCUCCUCCAUCUGCCUUCGCCCUGCUCUCCUCUUUUUCGCCUGAGGUUCGUGCUGCCUCCUCACCUCUUGUCCUGUUUCUCCCUUCUCUCUGCUCCCUCCUUUGAUCUUGCUAUUUUGCUUCUCUUUCCCUUCCUCUCUUCUCCUCCCUCCCCUUCCUCCCUGCUCCCUGCCUCAGCUUCUCAGUCUCUCUCCGUUCUUCCUCUAGCUUCCUUCCCUCCCCAGAAGACCCAGCCCUUCCUAGAGCCCCAGAAGCCAGGGUUCAUGCCCCAGCUCUCUACCCACACAUGCUGUGCAACCCUGGGCCAGUCACUGGUCUCUUGGGCCUCAGUUCAACAGAUGGCUGUCUUGGUGAUGUGAGAUCAUAGGGUGGAAGCACCCAGAAUGGUGCCAGGCACUCAAAAAUUUUUUUCUUUUCCUUUUUAAGGAACUACUAACCGUGAGGUUAUGGAUUACCAAACCGUUCCUGUUCUUGGAAUCUGGGUCCUACUAUUCCCAAGAAUUUGAAUUACCACGGGUCCCUGGGGAUGUAAGGGGAUGAGGCUUCUGAUGUACUUUGGGAGGGGGAGGAGUGGAAAGAGGAGUUGGGAGGACACUCUAGCAUUGCCCAGAGGGCAGAGGACAUUCUGCCUAUUUCCAGAGGUUAUUGACCCUGGAUCUCUUUUAUGGAGUUCCUCACCCAGGCCCCUUGAGCUUGGCCAUACUUGAGGCAAUGGGAUAUCUUCCUUCUCCUGGAGCCCCUUGAAUCUUAGGCCUCGGGAACACACAGUCUACUGUGUUUCUUGGCUGCACCCACGGAGGACAGCCCCCAUACUCCUUGCUUACAACCAGCAAAGACUCCACAGCCAUCCCUGCACACGACUCAGGCUCCUUGGCUUGGCACUCAAGGCUCUUUGCUUUCCUGUCCUGCUUUGCUUCCAGCUGCAAAGAUGGUGGCUUCCUGUUUUCCUCUUCGUUUCCUUUGCUUAAGUUGAUUCUCAGCCAGACAUGCUUUCCCCCUGCACGCUUCCCUAAGCCAUCCUAUCUGGGACCCUGACCCAAUCAAUGGUUCCCUAAUGCACCUUUGAGACCAAGUGUACCUGGCACCUCCUCUCUUGCCCCACUAUCUGCUCACAUGACCCUCUGCAGGCCUGUAAGCUGCUGGAGGCUCCGAGUAUGCCUCAUUCAUGUCUAUCCCCCUUACUAGGCCCAGACCAUGGAAGACACUCAAUAAAAAGUAAGUGAUUAAAUGACAACCUCUACGGAAAAGAGUAUGGAGAUUUCUCAAAGAACUAAAAACAGAACUACCUUUUGGCCAGAUGCAGUGGCUCACACCUAUAAUCCCAACAUUUGGGAAGGCUGAGGCAGGUGGAUUGCUUGAGCCCAGGAGUUCAAGAUCAGCCUGGGCAACAUGGUGAAACCCUAUCUCUACAAAAAAUACAGAAAAUUAGAUGAGACUACAGGUGGCACACAUCCAUAGUACCAGCUACUCCAGAGGCUGAGGCGGGAGGAUCGCUUGAGCCCAGGAGGUCCAGGCUACAGUGGGCCAAGAUCACGCCAUUGCACUCCAGCCUCAGUGAUAAAGUGGCAUUCUGUCUCAAAAGAAAAAGAACUGGCCAAGCAUGGUGGCUCACGUCUGUAAUCCCAGCACUUUGGGAGGCCGAGGCAGGUGGAUCACAUGAGAUCAGGAGUUUGAGACUAGCCUGGCCAACAAUGAUGAAACCCCAUCUCUACUAAAAAUACAAUAAUUAGCUGGGCGUGGUGGCGGGCGCCUGU